GAUGAACGCUGGCGGCGUGCCUAAUACAUGCAAGUCGAGCGAACGGACGAGAAGCUUGCUUCUCUGAUGUUAGCGGCGGACGGGUGAGUAACACGUGGAUAACCUACCUAUAAGACUGGGAUAACUUCGGGAAACCGGAGCUAAUACCGGAUAAUAUUUUGAACCGCAUGGUUCAAAAGUGAAAGACGGUCUUGCUGUCACUUAUAGAUGGAUCCGCGCUGCAUUAGCUAGUUGGUAAGGUAACGGCUUACCAAGGCAACGAUGCAUAGCCGACCUGAGAGGGUGAUCGGCCACACUGGAACUGAGACACGGUCCAGACUCCUACGGGAGGCAGCAGUAGGGAAUCUUCCGCAAUGGGCGAAAGCCUGACGGAGCAACGCCGCGUGAGUGAUGAAGGUCUUCGGAUCGUAAAACUCUGUUAUUAGGGAAGAACAUAUGUGUAAGUAACUGUGCACAUCUUGACGGUACCUAAUCAGAAAGCCACGGCUAACUACGUGCCAGCAGCCGCGGUAAUACGUAGGUGGCAAGCGUUAUCCGGAAUUAUUGGGCGUAAAGCGCGCGUAGGCGGUUUUUUAAGUCUGAUGUGAAAGCCCACGGCUCAACCGUGGAGGGUCAUUGGAAACUGGAAAACUUGAGUGCAGAAGAGGAAAGUGGAAUUCCAUGUGUAGCGGUGAAAUGCGCAGAGAUAUGGAGGAACACCAGUGGCGAAGGCGACUUUCUGGUCUGUAACUGACGCUGAUGUGCGAAAGCGUGGGGAUCAAACAGGAUUAGAUACCCUGGUAGUCCACGCCGUAAACGAUGAGUGCUAAGUGUUAGGGGGUUUCCGCCCCUUAGUGCUGCAGCUAACGCAUUAAGCACUCCGCCUGGGGAGUACGACCGCAAGGUUGAAACUCAAAGGAAUUGACGGGGACCCGCACAAGCGGUGGAGCAUGUGGUUUAAUUCGAAGCAACGCGAAGAACCUUACCAAAUCUUGACAUCCUUUGACAACUCUAGAGAUAGAGCUUUCCCCUUCGGGGGACAAAGUGACAGGUGGUGCAUGGUUGUCGUCAGCUCGUGUCGUGAGAUGUUGGGUUAAGUCCCGCAACGAGCGCAACCCUUAAGCUUAGUUGCCAUCAUUAAGUUGGGCACUCUAAGUUGACUGCCGGUGACAAACCGGAGGAAGGUGGGGACGACGUCAAAUCAUCAUGCCCCUUAUGAUUUGGGCUACACACGUGCUACAAUGGACAAUACAAAGGGCAGCGAAACCGUGAGGUCAAGCAAAUCCCAUAAAGUUGUUCUCAGUUCGGAUUGUAGUCUGCAACUCGACUACAUGAAGCUGGAAUCGCUAGUAAUCGUAGAUCAGCAUGCUACGGUGAAUACGUUCCCGGGUCU
rnacentral:rRNA from 1 species